UGCAUCUCAGACUUAAGUGCUCCUGAAGACCUCCACAGAGCUGGAGCAGGGUGUGAGAGUGCAGAGCAGGCCUGUGCUGAGACAGCUGUGAUCCAGUCACUGUGUGUCCCUGCCUUUGUCUGUCUCACUGAGAGGACGGAAAUGGAUUCAUGCUGAGUCACUCCAGCUUUCCUUUCCUGCUGUGGAAACCAGCUCUCUCAAGUUCGAGCUGUGCAACCUUGGGAGAGUUACCAAGGCGUUCUUGAUGCUUUCCAUUCCUGAUAUGUGGUACCAUGAUGACUAAAACAGCUACCUCAAAGAGUUCCUGACCAUGUUUGUCCUUGUGGAGGGCUGAGAAGGCGGCCUAGGAUGUGUUCUGUGCUGUUUAGUGUUUGUUCCUUGCGUUCAACCAUCUGCUGCCCACUGCAAGUCUGCUCUGAAUGCUGCAAGGGUGAGAAGGUGCAAUAGGUACCCUCCGUGGGUAUACAGUUUAGAUGAUACAUCACUGCAUAACUUGUUUGUUCAACAGGUGGGAAGAACUCGGCAUGCACUUCGGAACGUACGCCCGCCUUGAGGAAGGACAGGAGGAUGUGGAAAGUUUCCAAUCGAAUGGCGCUGUAGGGCAGUGUCGGCACACAGUAAGUGCCUAGUGCCAUAGAAGCAUUUUCUGCUUUAAUUGUUAGGCUGGCAGAAUGAAUGCUGAGAUGCAGCGAGCGUGUGGCCGGAGGUUGAGGGCGAGGAGGUGGAGGUGCUCCUGGGGAAAUCUUCCAAGAGGCAGUAUCCUUGAGCUCGGCUCUGAUCAGUGAGUAGGCGUUCGCCAGUGAGAGAAGAGGGCUAAGAGUGUUCCAGGCAGAAGGAACAUUGUGUUCAGGGCUAGGGAGGCGUGAAACAGCACAAUACACUCGGGGACUCCAAGCAGGCAAAGUACAAGUGGGGCCCCAUCCUUACUGAGACACACAGCAUGCAUUUGUUAAAUGAGCAUUAGAGGGUAGAGGCUGGGAAAUGAAACAUUGCUUGAUCAUUCUGGCCUGUAGCAUUAACCAAGCAACCAUUGAGGCUGAAGUGGCUAAGGGGCUUUUAAUUGUUUAAUUGUUCCACGUAGUACUUGCCCAGUGUAAUCUCUGUACUGUGUCAACUCUCCCUUUCCACUUUCCUUCCUUUCUUUCCCUUUUUUUUUUUAAAUAUAUAUAUAAUUGAGAUAGAGUUUCAUGUAGCCCAGGAUGGACUCAAAUUUCCUAUGUAACCAAAGAUGACCUUGAUUUAUCUUCCUGCCUCUACCUCCCAAGUGCCCAGUUCUACAUGGUGGUGAACUUCCAAACUCUGUGCAGGCUAGGCAGGCAUUCUAUCCACUGAGCCACACCCCCAGCCCCUUCUUAUUUUCUGCUGUGAGUAAAUAGCUGUCUCCUUUUUUCCCCUCAGAGUGAUGGAGAUUAGUUACAGUGAAGCUGCUGGGAUCCCAGGAUGAGUACCAAUGCUUUUGUGGGUGACACAUUUCUUUAGAUAAAAGGCCAGCAAAUCCUGGUCUGAGGGCCAGACUCAGUGUACUGCCUGGGGCUGGGUGACCUAGGAUACCAUCAGGCGGGACAUUUCAUCCCUGCUGUACACAAUCACUCAUCCUCCCACGGGUUGGCCUCUGCUCAGCCAGCAGAGGCAGGUUCAAGAGAGAAAGUGGAAGUACACACUUGAGGCACAGCUUGGAUUCAGCACAGUAACAUUCUGGUAGCUACAGAGAGGCAAAAGGCCAGCCUGGGUUGAAGGGUCUGGAAGUGGGUCCCAGUUCUUGAUUAAGCCACUGCAAAGGUACACUGCAAACAGCAGGGAGAGCCGAGGGACAGAGUCAGAGCCUCGUUUGAAAUCAUAAGCAAUCCUAAUCUAAAGCAGCAUGCAUUCCAGCCACAGGUUUUUUGUUUUUUGUUUUUUUUUUUUAAAUCAUCUCUGUGGUCUCAAGUGGAAAGAUGUAUUCAUCAGACAAGUCCACUGAGUCCCACCCACAGCUAUGAAUCAUCAGUGUCUCCCACUGAGGCCACCAUUAUCCUCUAGCAUAUGACAGGUACAGAGGAAUCAAAUGAGGCUUGUCCUAGGAGACCCACACCCACAGUCAGAGACCACCUGAUGAGUUCCACCAGGAAACUGGGCUCGAUUUUAACCCAUUAAAGGUAUAAAGCAAACAGUUGUCACAGACGCACCCGGUGACUGAGAACAGCCUUCGGGCUUAAUGUCUAGACAGACCUAUGCUAAAUAUUCUUGCUAAUCAUUCCAUGUUCCACUACUGUUACGGCUGCUAUUAAUGAUGCCUUUCUACAUAGAUGUGACUGAAGGGACAGACAUGGGACAGCUGCUUUACUCAUUAGCUAUUUGAUGCCCCCUCCGAUUUAGGUCUCUCUCCCUUCUUCUCCUCCUCCUGUCUCUCUCUGUCUCUCACUCUGUGUUAUAUGUACCUGUUUGUGGGGUACAUGAGCUUAUGUAGGAAGAUCAGAGGUAGAUAUCGAUUAUCUUCCACAAUCACGACCCACCUUAUUUUUUGAGACAAGGUUUCUCUGAACCUGGAACUCACCAGUUUGUCUAGAUGGACUGGCCAGUGAACUCCAGGGACCCUCCUGUCUCUGCCUCCCCACCACUGGGAUUACAGAUGCAUGCCAUCAUGCCUGACUUUAAAGGGGUAUUGGGCAUCCAAUCCAAGGUCCUGAUGCUUUCACGGCUAGUAUCUUACCAACUAAGCUACCUUCCCAAGCCGUUUUCCUCUUUGGAUUUUUAAAGUUUUCACCACGUAGCCUCAGUUAGCUUCAAACUUGUGGUAGUCCCCAAGCUUCAGCCAUGUGAUUUUUUUUUAAAGUUUAUUGCCAGAAAUUCUUCACUGUUACCAAACUUGUCUCCAUAAAUAAUGUGUAGUAUAAAUAACCAGGAUGUCAAAAACCUUCCAUAGCAGUCCUUUCCCUGGUACCAGGGGGUAUCUCAGAGGCAGCACCUGUUUCUUAAGAAUGUCCCAAAAAGUGAAAAACAAAAACACAACUCCCAAACAGUUCAGACAAAAACCCACACAGCUUAGGUUUGAAAAUAUUCUUUCUGUUCUGAAGCCACUCCGGGUCCUUGGGCAUCUGCAGGAAACUGACGCCUUGACACCAACUUCCAUGGAGUUGCUGCCAUUAGCCUUCUGUAGGAGCAGCAUCCGUGGGUGGAAGGAACAUGCCAGAUCUCAGGGAACUAUUAGAUGCCUGUUGAGUCAGGCGGCAGGACCAGCUGUGAAUGGGAAUGUAUUUUUACGUAGCUACAGUGGAAAGAACAGGGCUGUGGUAUGGGUGCCGAGGUGGGCACAGACCCUGCUGGGAUAUUUGUGGAUGGUUUGGUUUAUGGGGGAUGGGAAGACAGAGCUGUCUUGGGAGGUACAGCUAAAGACUCUAAGCUCAAAAGUUAACUCUGGGCAUAAUGGCACAUGCCUGUAAUCCCAGCACUUGGGAGGUGGAGGAAGGAGGAUCAGGAGUUCAAGGCCAGCCUGGGCUACAUAAGACACUGUCUAAAAAAAAAAAAAAGGUUUAUUUGGGCAGAUCACGUAAGCAUGGAAUGAUGAAUCUACAAGUUAGUGUUUUCAAAAUUAGACCCCAACAAAUGUUUAUUUCUUUCAUGUUUCUGUAUCACCCACCCACCUUAGGAAUGUCACAAAAAAAAAAAAAAAAAAAGUCCUGCCAGCCAGCUGCCCUUGGAAACAAGUCAAGUAGGAUAAACUUCCUGCUUGGGGGAAGGAGCAGGGGCUGUCACCUCUGCUGCCCCUCCCCUCCUCCUAGCUCUCUCCUUCCUGCCUGUGGAGGAAGCCUGUGUUCUCUACCUUGGCAUUCCUUGAUGUCUUAGAGAAGCAGAUGACCCCGGCUGAGCGAGACAGUCAGCAGAACAGCAGCUCUUGAUGCUGCGUUUGGAAAUUUCCAUUCUUUGCUUGCAGCUCUGAAAAAAAAAAAAAAAAAUCUAAAGAGCCCAGUAGCUGGGAAAUUUCCACAAUGGAAAAUUUUAACAUAUUCUUUAGCUCUAAACUAUGCAGGUUUAUAGACGUUAUUUUUUUUUCCUUUUUGUGAUUUCCUUCUUUAACAACAAUUUAUGAACAUGGUACCGCUAGAGCUGUGGGACCAGGAGGGCAAGAUGACCUAGGGGGUGGGCAUAGCUUGCUUAGCAGGAGGCUGUGCUAUAUAAAUGUGUGACCACUCAGCACACAGAAGCGCAGAUCACCCGUGAGGCCCACUGGGUGGGAACUCAUCCAAAGCAGAGCUAGCUUGCCCAGGAGCACUGCAGGGGAAUCUGUGUUAGACCUUGAAGUGGAAUGUGCACCGAUACAACUUGGGAACCUGACAUGUGAAGACGAGCCAAGAAUAGGACUGCUUGGGAAGGUGCACUGCGUGGAAUAGAAGGCUGAGGUAAAAAUCAUGUUGAAUGAGGAGCCUUGCUUGUUACAACAAGUCUGUCCUUGGCUAAUUAGGGCUUUCGACAAAAAGCAAAAGAAUGUUGGAGUGCCGACCUGGCUUUAUGUGGGAUCAUUUAAAUGUUUCUGAGUGCUUUUAUAUUGACCAUCUUUGUUGAUUUUCAUAACGUUCUUGUCUUAGCUUUUCCUCCGCUGUAACAAAAUACCUAAGAUAAUUAACUUAAAAAGAGAGAAGGUUUAUUUUGGCUCAUCACUGUAGAGGUUCCAGCUGGGCCCCUGUCUUUGGGCCUGGGAUGAGACAGACUCUGUAGUAGGAGUGAGUGACAGAGCAAAACUGUCCACCUCAUGUCCUGGAAACAAAUAGAAAGAGGGCUGAAGGUUCCACAGUCCCUUUUGAGGGCAUGCCCUCAGUGAUCCAAGGAUCUCCCACGAGACCCUGACUAGCAAGGGUUUUGCCAUCUUAGUACUACCUUGAGACCACUCUUAACAUUUAGACAUUUGGGAGUCAGUCAGUGUGUGAAUUAUAGCAAUCCUUAGUAACUAUUAAAGCUGAAAUUAAUUUCUUAUGAGGCAAGGUAUUUUUAAGAUGAGGAUAUGAGUUUGCAUAUAGAUUCAUGCUGGGUAUAUCAGCCAAUCCUUUUUGUUUCAAGCUGGUCUCAUCAUUGGAAGGAUGGGCUAAAAAUGUUUGGUGUUUCGUAGCAUUUCCUCCCAAAUUUUCUCAGUCAAUCUUUCCAUCAGCCAUCUACAUUAACAGGGACUGGCAUUAUCUCAGCUUUAGAGGUGAAACACAGUGGUGGCCACUAUAAAGUAACAAGAUCCAUGAAAAUUGGGGGAAGUAGGACUUUUGAUAUAGAAAACACUUACCCAUCAUUACUUGAUAGAUAUUUCAACAGAAAAAUGGCCAGGGGUAUAGUGAGGUG
ensembl:lncRNA